rnacentral:rRNA from 1 species
GUUUGAUCCUGGCUCAGGAUAAACGCUGGCGGCGUGCCUAAUGCAUGCAAGUCGCACGGGGUGUUCCUUCGGGGGCAUCGAGUGGCGAACGGGUGAGGAACGCGUGGACAACCUACCCCGGCGUGGGGGAUACCCGCCAGAAAUGGCGGCUAAUACCGCGUACGGUUGCCGGACGGCGGGUUCGGCAAAGAAAGCAGCGAUGCGCGCUGGGAGGGGUCUGCGGCCGAUUAGCUGGUUGGCGGGGUAGUGGCCCACCAAGGCGAUGAUCGGUAGCUGGUCUGAGAGGAUGAUCAGCCACACGGGGACUGAGGCACGGCCCCGACUCCUACGGGAGGCAGCAGCAAGGAAUUUUCCGCAAUGGGGGCAACCCUGACGGAGCAACGCCGCGUGACGGAUGACGCCUCUUGGGGUGUAAACGUCUUUUGCCGGGGAAGAGAACGGACGGUACCCGGCGAAUCAGGACCGGCUAACUACGUGCCAGCAGCCGCGGUAAUA